CGACGGCUCAGCCCCGUCUGUGGGGACAACCACCGUGUGGAAAGAGGCUUCCGUCAGCGCCGAUCAUUGCUCCCGUCUCCGGAUACCGCCCGCGGGGGAGCGAAUCAAGGCCGGAAUCCCCUUCCCACUCGGACAAGAUUUCUCGUCUUCUACUGCGCCCAACUGCGGAUAGGAACUCCAGGACCUCGGACUGGGCCUUCCGGACCGCCCCCAUCAGCUCUCCAAACUGCUCUUCCGCCGCCGCCUUCACUUCGGAGACGGAGUUCUGGGAGGGGGAGGUCAGAACCAACUGCUGCUCAGUCUGAGAUGACCAGCCCCCAUGCCCCCCCCCUUUUCCCUCCCCCCACCCUGUGACCUUACCCCCUUUAGACCCCACCCCUGACCCUCCGAA